CACGUAGGGCGCAAGCGUUGUCCGGAAUUAUUGGGCGUAAAGAGCUCGUAGGUGGUUUGUUACGUCUGCUGUGAAAUCCUAGGGCUUAACCCUGGGCUUGCAGUGGAUACGGGCAGACUAGAGGUAGGUAGGGGAGAAUGGAAUUCCUGGUGUAGCGGUGAAAUGCGCAGAUAUCAGGAAGAACACCCGUGGCGAAGGCGGCUCUCUGGGACGGUACUGACGCUGAGACGCGAAAGCGUGGGGAGCGAACAGG
rnacentral:rRNA from 1 species